AGUGAACGCUGGCGGUAGGCCUAACACAUGCAAGUCGAACGGCAGCACAGUAAGAGCUUGCUCUUACGGGUGGCGAGUGGCGGACGGGUGAGGAAUACAUCGGAAUCUACUUUUUCGUGGGGGAUAACGUAGGGAAACUUACGCUAAUACCGCAUACGACCUACGGGUGAAAGCAGGGGAUCUUCGGACCUUGCGCGAUUGAAUGAGCCGAUGUCGGAUUAGCUAGUUGGCGGGGUAAAGGCCCACCAAGGCAACGAUCCGUAGCUGGUCUGAGAGGAUGAUCAGCCACCCUGGAACUGGGACACGGUCCAGACUCCUACGGGAGGCAGCAGUGGGGAAUAUUGGACAAUGGGCGCAAGCCUGAUCCAGCCAUACCGCGUGGGUGAAGAAGGCCUUCGGGUUGUAAAGCCCUUUUGUUGGGAAAGAAAAGCAGCAGGUUAAUACCCCGCUGUUCUGACGGUACCCAAAGAAUAAGCACCGGCUAACUUCGU
rnacentral:rRNA from 1 species